rnacentral:rRNA from 1 species
CCUACGGGAGGCAGCAGUGAGGAAUAUUGGUCAAUGGACGAGAGUCUGAGCCAGCCAAGUAGCGUGAAGGAUGACUGCCCUAUGGGUUGUAAACUGCUUUUGUAUGGGAAUAAAAUGGUCCACGUGUGGGAUGUUGUAUGUACCAUAUGAAUAAGGAUCGGCUAACUCGGUGCCAGCAGCCGCGGUAAUACGGAGGAUCCGAGCGUUAUCCGGAUUUAUUGGGUUUAAAGGGAGCGUAGGUGGAUUGUUAAGUAAGUGGUGAAAGUUUGAGGCUUAACUGUAAAAUUGCAGUUGAAACUGGUAGUCUCGAGUACAGUAGAGGUGGGCGGAAUGCGUGGUGUAGCGGUGAAAUGCUUAGAUAUCACGAAGAACUCCGAUUGCGAAGGCAGUUCACUGGACUGCAACUGACACUGAGGCUCGAAAGUGUGGGUAUCAAACAGGAUUAGAUACCCUUGUAGUC